UGUAGGAGCCGGCUUGCUGGCGAUAGCACCACCUCGGUGUGACCGACUCACCGCGGUGAUGCCAUCGCCAGCAAGCCGGCUCCUGCA
rnacentral:misc_RNA from 1 species